UAGGGAAUAUUAGAAAUGGACGAAAGUCUGAUCUAGCAACACCGCGUGUGCGAAGAAGGCCUUCGGGUUGUAAAGCACUUUUUGGAAGGAUUAGGAAGGAAUGUACUUCCAGAAUAAGUCUCGGCUAACUACGUGCCAGCAGCCGCGGUAACACGUAGGAGGCAAACGUUAUCCGGAUUUACUGGGCGUAAAGCGCGUGUAGGUGGUUCUGUAAGUAGGGCGUGAAAGCUCCUGGCGCAACUGGGAGAGGCCGUUCUAAACUGCAGAGCUAGAGGAUGGUAGAGGGAGGUGGAAUUCCGGGUGUAGCGGUGGAAUGCGCAGAUAUCCGGAGGAACACCAGUGGCGAAAGCGGCCUCCUGGACCAUGCCUGACACGCAGACGCGAAAGCUAGGGUAGCAAACG
rnacentral:rRNA from 1 species